rnacentral:rRNA from 1 species
AAUAGAUACCCUGGUAGUCCACGCCGUAAACGAUGAGUGCUAAGUGUUAGAGGGUUUCCGCCCUUUAGUGCUGCAGCUAACGCAUUAAGCACUCCGCCUGGGGAGUACGGCCGCAAGGCUGAAACUCAAAGGAAUUGACGGGGGCCCGCACAAGCGGUGGAGCAUGUGGUUUAAUUCGAAGCAACGCGAAGAACCUUACCAGGUCUUGACAUCCUCUGACAUCCCUGGAGACAGGGCCUUCCCCUUCGGGGGACAGAGUGACAGGUGGUGCAUGGUUGUCGUCAGCUCGUGUCGUGAGAUGUUGGGUUAAGUCCCGCAACGAGCGCAACCCUUGGCCUUAGUUGCCAGCAUUGAGUUGGGCACUCUAAGGUGACUGCCGGUGACAAACCGGAGGAAGGUGGGGAUGACGUCAAAUCAUCAUGCCCCUUAUGACCUGGGCUACACACGUGCUACAAUGGAUGGUACAAAGGGCUGCGAGACCGCGAGGUUAAGCCAAUCCCAGAAAACCAUUCCCAGUUCGGAUUGCAGGCUGCC